CAGAUUGCAGGCUGCAACCCGCCUGCAUGAAGUCGGAAUUGCUAGUAAUCGCGGAUCAGCAUGCCGCGGUGAAUACGUUCCCGGGCCUUGUACACACCGCCCGUCACACCAUGGGAGUCGGAAAUGCCCGAAGUCGGUGACCCAACCGAAAGGAGGGAGCCGCCGAAGGCAGGUCUGAUAACUGGGGUGAAGUCGUAACAAGGUAUC
rnacentral:rRNA from 1 species